CUCCAUCGCAUGAAUGACAUUCCACCCGCCCACAAUUACGAAACUUUGGAGGGACUAUUUUCGCAGCAGUACCUAAAAAGAGCUCAUCACUCUUGUCCUAUGGAGGAUCUUUGACGGGUUUUUGGUCUUGAUACCCAACUAGUUAUGACAAUGGGGUCUACCAGAAUCCAAUCCAGUCUGAACAUGUUCCUUUGGGCCGCAGUUCUAUCUUACUGCAUGUUGAUGGCAUCUAGGGGUCGAUUCAUGAGAAGAGUCACUUCUAGUUCCUCCCUCUCGCUGAAGAACUGGGCCUUGCUCUCCUGGUGGAAGACCGGGUGUGGGAGAUGGAGGCCCAGUUUACUGGAAAGUAUUGCCCCAAGACAAAAUGGACUGUCAUAAAAAUGCUUGCUGAAAGGUGCGAGGUUAUCAACUCACCAGCACAUCCUCAAUGUAACCCAGCACGGUGGUCAGCAUGUCCUGGAUGCGGGCAGCAGAGCCAGCCACCUGGGAAAGG